rnacentral:rRNA from 1 species
AUGGCGACCGGCGCACGGGUGAGUAACACGUAUCCAACCUGCCGAUGACUCGGGGAUAGCCUUUCGAAAGAAAGAUUAAUACCCGAUGGCAUAGUUCUUCCGCAUGGUAGAACUAUUAAAGAAUUUCGGUCAUCGAUGGGGAUGCGUUCCAUUAGGUUGUUGGCGGGGUAACGGCCCACCAAGCCUUCGAUGGAUAGGGGUUCUGAGAGGAAGGUCCCCCACAUUGGAACUGAGACAUGGUCCAA